rnacentral:tRNA from 1 species
AUUUAUAUAGUUUAACUAAAACUUUACAUUUUCACUGUAAAAAUAAAAUU